GAUGUGAGUUAUUCCCCUUUGUGAACACACCCUUUCGCUUUUUAAAGCACUUUCAGCGAGGAGGAAGGAGAGUUUUUUAAUAGCACAUUGCAUUGACGUUACUCGCAGAAGAAGCCCCCGCUUACUCCGUGCCAGCAGCCGCGGUAAUACGGAGGGUGCAGGCGUUAAUCGGAAUUACUGGGCGUAAAGCGCACGCAGGCGGUUUGUUAAGUCAGAUGUGAAAUCCCCGCGCUUAACGUGGGAACUGCAUUUGAAACUGGCAAGCUAGAGUCUUGUAGAGGGGGGUAGAAUUCCAGGUGUAGCGGUGAAAUGCGUAGAGAUCUGGAGGAAUACCGGUGGCGAGGGCGGCCCCCUGGACAAAGACUGACGCUCAGGUGCGAAAGCGUGGGGAGCAAACAGGAUUAGAUACCCUGGUAGUCCACGCUGUAAACGAUGUCGACUUGGAGGUUAUACCCUUGAGGCGGGGCUUCCGGAGCUAACGCGUUAACUCGAAAGCCUGGGGAGUA
rnacentral:rRNA from 1 species